AUGGAAAUGGUAAAAAGAGCUGUCAUUUCCCGUAGUUUCGGUGUCGAAUAACGAUUUAUGUCGCGAGUUAAUUGAUGUAAGACAAUUUCGCUGUAAAUUUCAACUUAAGACAAACAUUUAACGAUAAGUAUUGUGUGUGGGACAGUGCAAGAACAUUCGGCAACGAGCAAGAUAUCCUGCAGCUGCUUCUGGACAGAAGGGCGUAGUUUGCUACUUGAGAAGCAGAUUCCAAUUUCAAAUCUAAUCAAACUGAAAUGUGGAAAGGAUGGAACUUCUAUAGGUUGUAAUCAACCCCUAUCCAUCAAAGGCUUCAGUUUUUCCAAUUUUAAUUGGAAGAGUUCAACAUCCAAAAUGGUGAUCUUUUGGUUUUCCCUUCCAGACUCUGAUUGUAAGCCGUAGAAGAGUUCGUUGGAGUUCUGUUUGAACGGAGGGAAGCAACGGGAUGAUUUAAUUCGACGACAGCAACAGGGGACACCGUCAAAAGCUGCUACACUUGGACGUCAUCCCCCAACGGGUCGUGAUUUAUCGAGUGAUCCUGCUGAAAUAUAGGCUAACAACUCCACUAUAACAACAGGGAUUAUCUUAUAAGCAUGAAGUUAAUUUUUAUUCUACCCUGCGACGUCAUUUUUCUUGGACUGUGGACAUUGGCCUGCCGUUAACAUCUUCAUUUUGCAACAUUAUGCAAUUAAUCUUCGACGACUGAUUGAGAGAGCACCUUGAAGUUGAUUUGGAUCCCAAAUUGUCUGCAGUGGCAUCAUUCUUCCUGGAUUUGCAUUACUGUUUGCACUUGUUGACUUUGGCACAUUGUAAUUAAUUAAGAUCGCCGGUGGAGAAGAUAAAGAAGACCCCGUAGUUAAAAUACUUGUCUAUUUUGCAUGUUUUUUGUAGUUUAUUUUAUUUGAAUUAAUUUUUGAUUGUAGAUGUUGUUAUUGUUUUUAGUUGUAGUCGUUAUUACUGUACUAACACGUUUAGUUUUUUUUGGUAGUCAUAGUCUAACAUGUCUCUUGCUUACCUCUUCGCUUAGCUUACUGCAUAUUCUUCCUAAUUUGCU